rnacentral:rRNA from 1 species
UACGGAGGGUGCAAGCGUUAUCCGGAUUUACUGGGUUUAAAGGGUGUGUAGGCGGACUUUUAAGUCCGUGGUGAAAUCUCCGGGCUCAACCCGGAAACUGCCAUGGAUACUAUAGGUCUUGAAUAUUGUUGAGGUGGGCGGAACGGGUCAUGUAGCGGUGAAAUGCAUAGAUAUGACCCGGAACACCGAUUGCGAAGGCAGCCCACUAAGCAAUGAUUGACGCUGAGGCACGAAAGCGUGGGGAUCAAACAGG